CCGCAGAGGGGGCCCAGGCAGCACACAGCUUCUCCUCUUCUCUUCUUUCUUCUAAUAACUCUUGCGAGACCCGGUUACCAUGGCAACGCUCCGCGGGUUUCACAAGAGUUAUUAGAAGAGAGGAGAAGAGAAGAGGAGAAGCAGUGUGCUGCCUGGGCCCCCUCUGCG
rnacentral:miRNA from 1 species